UAGGGAAUCUUCGGCAAUGGACGAAAGUCUGACCGAGCAACGCCGCGUGAGUGAAGAAGGUUUUCGGAUCGUAAAACUCUGUUGUUAGAGAAGAACAAGGACGUUAGUAACUGAACGUCCCCUGACGGUAUCUAACCAGAAAGCCACGGCUAACUACGUGCCAGCAGCCGCGGUAAUACGUAGGUGGCAAGCGUUGUCCGGAUUUAUUGGGCGUAAAGCGAGCGCAGGCGGUUUCUUAAGUCUGAUGUGAAAGCCCCCGGCUCAACCGGGGAGGGUCAUUGGAAACUGGGAGACUUGAGUGCAGAAGAGGAGAGUGGAAUUCCAUGUGUAGCGGUGAAAUGCGUAGAUAUAUGGAGGAACACGAGUGGCGAAGGCGGCUCGCUGGUCUGUAACUGACGCUGAGGAUCGAAAGCGUGGGGAGCAAACAGG
rnacentral:rRNA from 1 species